rfam:Rattus norvegicus chromosome 17, whole genome shotgun sequence.
GGGGAUUUAGCUCACUGGUAGAGCGCUUGCCUAGGAAGCGCAAGGCCCUGGGUUCGAUCCCCAGCUCCG